rnacentral:rRNA from 1 species
GACGAACGCUGGCGGCGUGCUUAACACAUGCAAGUCGAACGGUAAGGCCCUUCGGGGUACACGAGUGGCGAACGGGUGAGUAACACGUGGGUGAUCUGCCCUGCACUUUGGGAUAAGCCUGGGAAACUGGGUCUAAUACCGGAUAGGACCACGGCCUACAUGGGUUGGGGGGGAAAGCUUUUGCGGUGUGGGAUGGGCCCGCGGCCUAUCAGCUUGUUGGUGGGGUGAUGGCCUACCAAGGCGACGACGGGUAGCCGGCCUGAGAGGGUGUCCGGCCACACUGGGACUGAGAUACGGCCCAGACUCCUACGGGAGGCAGCAGUGGGGAAUAUUGCACAAUGGGCGCAAGCCUGAUGCAGCGACGCCGCGUGGGGGAUGACGGCCUUCGGGUUGUAAACCUCUUUCACCAGGGACGAAGCGCAAGUGACGGUACCUGGAGAAGAAGCACCGGCCAACUACGUGCCAGCCGCCGCCGUAA